AAACCAGCACCUCAAGUGGUCAGGAGGAUUAUUGGGCCUAAAGCAUCCGUAGCCUGUUCUAUAAGUUUCCGGUUAAAUCCACUAGCUCAACUAGUGGGCUGCCAAAAAUACUGUAGAACUAGGGAGUGGGAGAGGUAGACGGUAUUCGGUAGGAAGGGGUAAAAUCCUUUGAUCUAUUGAGGACCACCUGUGGCGAAGGCGGUCUACCAGAACACGUUCGACGGUGAGGGAUGAAAGCUGGGGGAGCAAACCGGAUUAGAAACCCCAGUAGUCC
rnacentral:rRNA from 1 species